rnacentral:siRNA from 1 species
CAUGCGGAUUUGCUCUAGCGCCU